CUUUCAUCAACCGGUAAUGGUUUUACUUAAUUGUAGAUUAAUAGGGAAUCGUGUGUAAAUCACGAACUGUCGCGCAACUGUAAGUAACACAAAGAGUUUUUACCCUUAGCAUAUCCACUGUUCCCCCUGGGGAAUGGGAAGGAUGGUAAAAAUGUUACAAGUCAGGAGACCUGCCCUUACCGAAUUGACAUU
rnacentral:ncRNA from 1 species